GAGUUUGAUCCUGGCUCAGGACGAACGCUGGCGGCGUGCCUAACACAUGCAAGUCGAGCGAAUGAAGUUCCUUCGGGAACGGAUUUAGCGGCGGACGGGUGAGUAACACGUGGGCAACCUGCCUCAUAGAGGGGAAUAGCCUUCCGAAAGGGAGAUUAAUACCGCAUAAGAUUGUAGUACCGCAUGGUACAGCAAUUAAAGGAGCAAUCCGCUAUGAGAUGGGCCCGCGGCGCAUUAGCUAGUUGGUGAGGUAACGGCUCACCAAGGCGACGAUGCGUAGCCGACCUGAGAGGGUGAUCGGCCACAUUGGGACUGAGACACGGCCCAGACUCCUACGGGAGGCAGCAGUGGGGAAUAUUGCACAAUGGGGGAAACCCUGAUGCAGCAACGCCGCGUGAGUGAUGACGGCCUUCGGGUUGUAAAGCUCUGUCUUCAGGGACGAUAAUGACGGUACCUGAGGAGGAAGCCACGGCUAACUACGUGCCAGCAGCCGCGGUAAUACGUAGGUGGCGAGCGUUGUCCGGAUUUACUGGGCGUAAAGGGAGCGUAGGCGGAUUUUUAAGUGAGAUGUGAAAUACUCGGGCUUAACCUGAGUGCUGCAUUUCAAACUGGAAGUCUAGAGUGCAGGAGAGGAGAAGGGAAUUCCUAGUGUAGCGGUGAAAUGCGUAGA
rnacentral:rRNA from 1 species